UACGUAGGGUGCGAGCGUUAAUCGGAAUUACUGGGCGUAAAGUGUGCGCGGGCGGCCAUGCAAGUCGAGUGUGAAAGCCCCGGGCUUAACUUGGGAAUUGCGCUCGAAACUACGUGGCUGGAGUGUGGCAGAGGAAGGUGGAAUUCCACGUGUAGCGGUGAAAUGCGUAGAGAUGUGGAGGAACACCAAUGGCGAAGGCAGCCUUCUGGGCCAACACUGACGCUCAUGCACGAAAGCGUGGGGAGCAAACAGG
rnacentral:rRNA from 1 species